rnacentral:misc_RNA from 1 species
GAAAUGCGAUAAUUAAUGUGAAUUGCAGAAUUCAGUGAAUCAUCGAGUCUUUGAACGCACAUUGCGCCCCCUGGUAUUCCGGGGGGCAUGCCUGUCCGAGCGUCAUUGCUGCCCUCAAGCACGGCCUUUGUGUUGGGCUUCCGUCCCUGGCAACGGGGACGGGCCCAAAAGGCAGUGGCGGCACCAUGUCUGGUCCUCGAGCGUAUGGGGCUUUGUCACCCGCUCCCGUAGGUCCAGCUGGCAGCUAGCCUCGCAACCAAUCUUUUUAACCAGGUUGACCUCGGAUCAGGUAGGGAUACCCGCUGAACUUAAGC